CGGCCACACUGGGCUAGCACGGCCCAGACUCCUGCGGGAGGCAGCAGUGGGGAAUAUUGCACAAUGGGCGAAAGCCUGAUGCAGCGACGCCGCGUGGGGGAUGACGGCCUUCGGGUUGUAAACCUCUUUUACCACCAACGCAGGCUCCACGUUCUCGUGGGGUUGACGGUAGGUGGGGAAUAAGGACCGGCUAACUCGUGCCAGCAGCCGCGGUAAUACGUAGGGUCCGAGCGUUGUCCGGAAUUAUUGGGCGUAAAGAGCUUCGUAGGCGGGCAUGUCGCGGUCUGCCUGUGAAAGACCGGGGCUUAACCUCCGGUUCUGCAGUGGAUCGGGCAUGCUGAGGUAGGUAGGGGAUACUGGAAUUCCUGGUGUAGCGGUGAAAUGCGCAGAUAUCAGGAGGAACACCGGUGGCGAAGGCGGGUUUCUGGGCCUUACCUGACGCUGAGGAGCGAAAGCAUGGGGAGCGAACAGGAUUAGAUACCCUGGUAGUCCAUGCCGUAAACGUUGGGCGCUAGGUGUGGGGACUUUCCACGGUUUCCGCGCCGUAGCUAACGCAUUAGCGCCCCGCCUGGGGAGUCGGCCGCAAGGCUAAACUCAAAGGAAUUGACGGGGGCCCGCACAAGCGGCGGAGCAUGUUGCUUAAUUCGACGCAACGCGAAAUAACCUUACCAAGGUUUGACAUCACCCGUGGACCCUGUAGAAGAUACAAGGGUCAUUUAGUUGGUGGGUGACAGGUGGUGCAUGGCGUCGUCAGCUCGUGUCGUGAGAAUGUUUGGGUUUAAGUCCCGCAAACGGAGCGCAAACCCUUGUUCUAUGUUUGCCAGCACGUAAUGGUGGGGACUCAUAGGAGACUGCCGGGGUUCAACUCGGAGGAAGGUGGGGACGACGUCAAGUCAUCAUCCCCUUUAUGUCUUGGGCUGAAACAUCUCAAUGGCGGACAAUGGGCGUCGAUCCGAAGGUGACGAUCCUUAAGCGGUCUCAGUUCGGAUGGGUACCCAUGAGUGAGCCUAGUAUCGCGAUCACU
rnacentral:rRNA from 1 species